rnacentral:rRNA from 1 species
UACGGGGGGGGCAAGCGUUGUUCGGAAUUACUGGGCGUAAAGGGCUCGUAGGCGGCCAACUAAGUCGGACGUGAAAUCCCCAGGCUCAACCUGGGAACUGCGUCCGAUACUGGAUGGCUUGAAUUCGGGAGAGGGAUGCAGAAUUCCAGGUGUAGCGGUGAAAUGCGUAGAUAUCUGGAGGAAUACCGGUGGCGAAGGCGGCAUCCUGGACCGACAUUGACGCUGAGGAGCGAAAGCGUAGGGAGCGAUCCGG